GCGGGUUUAGCUCAUCCGGUAGAGCGUCUGCUUCCCAAGCAGAAGGCGAGGGGUUCGAGUCCCCUUAUCCGCUCCA
rnacentral:tRNA from 1 species